AGGCAACGGAUCCGCCCUCGCGAGACUUCGAGCAGCCCUCGGAGAUAACCUGCAACCAGUGCGGAGGAAAGGAGCCUGCGCAGGUUUUGGCCCCAGGAAGUCGGAGCCCAGAGCAUCCCGGAAACUUGGGGUGGGCAGCAGGGCGGUCAGAGAGGACGCCUGGGAGGCUUUGGGGUCUGUCGGAAGAAUUUAGGAGCGUGGAAGGCCAGACAGCUAAUAAUUCCUAGUCGAAGUCUGCACUUCGACUUUUGCCAUAGAGGAGGCAUGCUGGUUAGGACUGCGCCUUGGAGCCCACCUGACUUUUAACAGUGUGACAAUGGACAAAUUAAUUACCUGGACUUCUUGGGUACAGUACUUGAAACUACUCCUUGGAGAUGUUAGAAUGUUAAAAUGGAUCAGCUGUAUACUAAGCAGUACUAUUUAGCGGAAGCUUAGCUGGAAUCAGUAUCAUUUUAAGAGCUCUGGCUAGGAGGAAUGUUAUCCAGAGAGACUCCGUUAUACUGGUGAUGAUGGUCUGUAGCCAGCUGACAUCCCCUUUUCAGGGACUCAUUCUGGGACUCAUAAACACUGGGACUGCCAUUCUGAGAGGUCAGAUACCUCUCAGAGGUCUGAGAGGAGAGCCUUCUGCUGUCAACGUUCCUCCCACGGUGGUGUAUGGAGAAUGUCUUCCUGGGAACCAUUCCAUGGGUUUGGGCUACUUACACUGCAUGGCUGACAAACCUGCAAUGCACUAAUAGACUAGGCUAGAGUGGUCAUAAAGGCUUAGGUCAACAAGCUCAUUCUUUGUUUAAAAAAUAACAAAAAAUUAUUUUUUUCUUUUCUCCCUGCCACCAAGAGAAAAUUAUAGAAGGGACUGAACAACUAUACAUUUUCUCAUGAAUAGCAUCCUAAAAAAGAAAGUACCAUGUAUAAUGGUUAAAAUGCAGGCUUAGAUCAGACUGCUGGAGUAUCAAUGCAGGCUAUGCUACUUAUUCACUGUGUGACUUUGAGAAAGUUACUUCAUCUUUCAGUGCCUCAUUUUUCUCAGCUGCAAAAUGAGUUAUGAUACACUACUUACCUCACAUGGUGACUGGAGGAUCAAAUGAAAUAAUGGAGGGUAAGAAGGUAGAAGAUUGGCAUACGGUGGGGUGCUCACUUAGCGCUAGUAGUUUGCAACGUGAUAAUUACCAGCAGGCACUUUUCAUAUGUGUAGCAAUGACUUAGAAAGGCUAGUGAAUUUCAAUGGAAUAAAAGCGCAACGUGUAGCUAAUAGUGAAGGUGGGGUAAUAUGUUUAGGUAGCUGCAUAAGAACUAAGAACACGUAGAAAGUAGGAAAGGGAAGGUAAUUCUCUCACUGCAGUGAAUUGUAGUGAUUCUCUAGUUGCCUUUGAUGCGCUCUUUAGUCCUGAGUUUGCUUAAGAAGUGCUUCUGUUUAAAUCAGCCCAUAAGCAGCCUGUUCUAACCUUGCUUAUUGUCCGUCUCCAGUUUCUUCCUUUUUAAUUUUCUUUUUAUUGAAGGAGAAGACUAGGUCUAUUACUUGAAAUGGGGAAAGGCUACAGUUGGGAGUUGAAUGAGCUCAUUGUACCACAAAGGGUCCCAUUUGCAGUCUGAGCAUCAUUUAGAUGUUCUUCAGAGCCUCCUUUCUGAAGAAUGACCAUAUCCUUUGAUCAGAAGACUAAAAGUAAGAGGAACCCAGUCAUUCUUAGCCAUUCAUUUUCAUAGGGUAUUAAAUGGUUGCCUUACUCUUGAAUAUGAUUUUAAUUUUUUUGCCAUAGCAACCCUGAGUCUUAGGCUGCUGGCAGUGGCAAUAUAAUCUAAAAUGGUUCCAGAAAGCAGUUUUGGAAACACUCAGGGAGACAGAUGUUUUCCCCAAGUGAUCUUUAAAUGACUGUGGCACCAAGCUGGGACGUUGUAAGGAAACGUAGACCAUAGUAUCCCAUGCAGGCUUCCGCUGCCAACGUUCCU